AGUCUGAACAGGGCGAAAUAGUCAGUCGGAGUAGACCCGAAACCGGGUGAUCUAUCCAUGUCCAGGUUGAAGUUGCCGUAAAAGGCAAUGGAGGACCGAACCCACAUCCGUUGAAAAGGGUGGGGAUGAGGUGUGGAUAGGGGAGAAAUUCCAAUCGAACCCGGAGAUAGCUGGUUCUCCUCGAAAUAGCUUUAGGGCUAGCCUCAUGCAAGUCUUACGGAGGUAGAGCACUGAAUUCCUAAGGGGGCGUCAAAGCUUACCAAGGGAUAUCAAACUCCGAAUGCCGUGUAGAUGGUGCAUGGGAGUCAGACUAUCCGAGAUAAGUUGGGUAGUCAAAAGGGAAAGAGCCCAGACCUACAGCUAAGGUCCCAAAAUGUGUGUUAAGUGGAAAAGGAUGUGGGAUUUCGAAGACAACUAGGAUGUUGGCUUAGAAGCAGCCAUCCAUUAAAAGAGUGCGUAAUAGCUCACUAGUCGAGAGGUCCUGCGCCGAAAAUGUCCGGGGCUGAAACACACUACCGAAGCUUAGGAAUUGA
rnacentral:rRNA from 1 species